rfam:Aedes aegypti strain Liverpool supercont1.245 genomic scaffold, whole genome shotgun sequence.
GGCAAUGUGGCGUAGUUGGCAACACGUUCGCUUCAUAAGCGGAUGGUCAUGGGUUUGAUUCCCAGCUUCCUCA